UGCUCAUAAUAUACAUAAAUAUCAUGACGUCAUAUACAUAACAUUAGUUUAGGGUAUAAAAACCCUACACUGAUCUACAUUAACUCUAUUCUACUCGUCCUUUUGCUGUAAAGUCAAAAGUAAAACACUUACAACACAAUAAUGGCAAAAUUCCUGAUUCUUUUCGCAACUUUAGCCCUAGCAGCGACUGUGGUCCUUGCAGAACAAGAAAACACCGAGGGAGAUUUAGUUUGGACGCCAGGAAAAAUCGUAGUCAACUUUAUUCAGAACGUCUUCUGGGGCAUCCGUGCUAUUGUAUUCCUUAUUCCAGUUGGCAUCUUCCAGCUUCUCAUGGGUGAUAUGGGCAUUCUUACAUAUUUAGUGUACUUUUUGGAUCGUGGUAUUGCCGGUGUCUACCGUUUCAUCGCUUCUUUCUUUGGAUAAAUCAUGAAUAACUGUUCUAAUAUUGACUUUUGAUUAAUUUACUGAUAAAUAAAUAAACAGCAACUAUUAAUUGACAA